rnacentral:tRNA from 1 species
GGGAUUGUGGCUCAGCGGUAGAGCACUCACCUAGCAUGUGCAAAGCCCUGGGUUCGAUCCUCAGCACCA